GUGAAUCAUCGAAUUUUUGAACGCAAUUUGCACUCUCUUCGGAUAGUAUGCCUGUUUGAGUGUCAGCCUAAAAAAAAUCGACAUCGUUGCUGUUUCGCUGUGGCGUUCGUCGGAAAUUGGGUUAUCUUAAAUCUUUGGUUUAAGCGACUUAAUAUUUUCUUUACGAUUCCAUUAACUUUUCCAAGAUUUAUUUCUUUAUACGUUUAAGGUAUCGAUUUUAUUAGUCGUUUUCGUCAUAUCUAACCAUGUCCAU
rnacentral:misc_RNA from 1 species